GCUGGCGGCGUGCUUAACACACAUGCAAGUGGAGCGACGAACCAGGGCUUGCCCUGGGGCAGAGCCGCGAACGGGUGAGUAACACGUGGGUAACGUGCCCCAAUGAUCGGGACAACCCGGGGAAACCCGGGCUAAUACCGAAUGUGCUCCCCUCACACCAGUGAGGGAUGGAAAGGAAGCUUCGGCCUCCGCAUUGGGAUCGGCCCGCGGCCCAUUAGCUUGUUGGUGAGGUAACGGCUCACCAAGGCUGCGAUGGGUAGCUGGUCUGAGAGGACGAUCAGCCACACUGGGACUGAGACACGGCCCAGACUCCUACGGGAGGCAGCAGUGGGGAAUCUUGCGCAAUGCGCGAAAGCGUGACGCAGCAACGCCGCGUGGGGGAAGAAGGCCUUCGGGUUGUAAACCCCUUUCAGGAGGGACGAAGGUUGGGCGGUUAAUAGCCGGCCUGACUGACGGUACCU
rnacentral:rRNA from 1 species